UACGUAGGGGGCAAGCGUUGUCCGGAAUCAUUGGGCGUAAAGAGCGUGUAGGCGGCCCGGUAAGUCUGCUGUGAAAGUCCAGGGCUCAACCCUGGGAUGCCGGUGGAUACUGUCGGGCUCGAGUCCGGAAGAGGCGAGUGGAAUUCCUGGUGUAGCGGUGGAAUGCGCAGAUAUCAGGAGGAACACCAAUAGCGAAGGCAGCUCGCUGGGACGGUACUGACGUUGAGGUGCGAAAGCGUGGGGAGCAAACAGG
rnacentral:rRNA from 1 species